UACGAAGGUGGCAAGCGUUGUUCGGAAUCACUGGGCGUAAAGCGCACGUAGGCGGAUUGCUAAGUCAGGGGUGAAAUCCUGGAGCUCAACUCCAGAACUGCCUUUGAUACUGGCGACCUUGAGUCCGGGAGAGGUGAGUGGAACUGCGAGUGUAGAGGUGAAAAUUCGUAGAUAUUCGCAAGAACACCAGUGGCGAAGGCGGCUCACUGGCCCGGUACUGACGCUGAGGUGCGAAAGCGUGGGGAGCAAACAGG
rnacentral:rRNA from 1 species